CCUACGGGAGGCAGCAGUGGGGAAUUUUGGACAAUGGGCGCAAGCCUGAUCCAGCAAUGCCGCGUGCAGGAAGAAGGCCUUCGGGUUGUAAACUGCUUUUGUACGGAGCGAAAAGGUCUUCCCUAAUACGGGAGGCUGAUGACGGUACCGUAAGAAUAAGCACCGGCUAACUACGUGCCAGCAGCCGCGGUAA
rnacentral:rRNA from 1 species